GUCGCAGGCGGGGCGUGACCCGGCUGGCGGCGCUUCUGGCGUCGGUCACGUUGGCCGUGGCCGCAUGCGGCAGUUCGAACCCGCUCGGCGGCG
rnacentral:tRNA from 1 species